GGUUUACAUUCAGACAUGCAAGUUUUUCCGAAAGGAAGGCGAACUGCUUAGUAACACGUAGUUAACCUCCCCUUAGGUCAGGCAUAUCCUCGGGAAACUGAGGGUAAUAACUGAUAGGAGAUGAUUUCUGGAAGGAGUUUUCUCAUAAAUUCGGGCCUAAGGAUGGGACUGCGGCUGAUUAGGUUGUUGGCGGGGUAAUGGCCCACCAAGCCGAUGAUCAGUAAGGGCUCUUAGCGGAGGGGCCCUAAGAAGGAAUCUUAGACACUAUUCCUAGCCCUACGGGGUGCAGCAGUUAGGGGUUUUCUGCAAUGCACGAAAGUGUGACAGAGCGAGCCAGAGUGUUUCUUUUAUAGAGACUUUUGUAAGCUGUAAAAAGGCUUACGAAUAAGGACUGGGCAAGACCGGUGCCAGCCGCCGCGGUAAUCCCGGCAGUCCGAGUCGCAGCCACAAUUAUUGGGUCUAAAACAUCCGUAGCUUGCUUUAUAAGUCUCUUGUGAAAUCUGGCCUCUUAAGGGUCGGACGGGCAAGAGAUACUGUAGAGCUAGAGACCGGAGGAUGUGAGGAGUACAAUCGAGGUAGUGGUAAAAUACGUUAAUCUCGAUUGGACUAACGACAGCGAAGGCACCUCACAACGACGGAUCUGACAGUGAGGGAUGAAAGCUAGGGGCGCAAAAUGGAUUAGAUACCCAUGUAGUCCUAGCAGUAAACACUGCACACUAAACAUCAGCACCUCCUCGAGAGGUGUUGGUGCUGUAGGGAAGCCGAAGAGUGUGCUACCUGGGAAGUAUAGUCGCAAGGCCGAAACUUAAAGGAAUUGGCGGGGGAGCACUACAACGGGUGACGCGUGCGGUUCAAUUAGAAUCUACACCGUGAACCUCACCAGGACCGACAGCAGAAUGAAGGUCAGUCUGAAGGGCUUACCUGACACGCUGAGAGGAGUUGCAUGGCCGACGUCAGCCUGUGCCGUGAGGUGACCUGUUAAAUCAGGUAACAGGCGAGACCCGCGUGCAUAGUUGCUAUCUGAUGAAGAAGCACUCUAUGCAGACUGCCUGGGUAACCAGGAGGAGGGUGCGGGCUACGUUAGGUGAGUACGGCCCUAAUGCCCUGGGCGACACGCGCGCGGCAAUGCUGCAUGCAGUGAGAUGCAACUCCGAAAGGAGAAGCUAAUCCCAUAAUAUGCAGCUCAGUUUAGAUUGAAGGCUGAAACUCGCCUUCAUGACACCGGAAUCCGUAGUAAUCGUUCUUUAGCAGAGAACGGUGAAUAAGUCCCUGCUCCUUGCACACACCGCCCGUCAAACCAACCGAGUUUUGCUUUGGUGAGGCUUUUCGAGGUCAAAUCUUUGUAAGACAAGGUAGGUUAAGUCGUCACAAAGUC
rnacentral:rRNA from 1 species